CCAGACUCCUACGGGAGGCAGCAGUGGGGAAUAUUGCACAAUGGGCGCAAGCCUGAUGCAGCGACGCCGCGUGGGGGAUGACGGCCUUCGGGUUGUAAACUCCUUUCGCUAGGGACGAAGCUUUUUGUGACGGUACCUAGAUAAGAAGCACCGGCUAACUACGUGCCAGCAGCCGCGGUAAUACGUAGGGUGCGAGCGUUGUCCGGAAUUACUGGGCGUAAAGGGCUCGUAGGUGGUUUGUCGCGUCGUCUGUGAAAUUCCGGGGCUUAACUCCGGGCGUGCAGGCGAUACGGGCAUAACUUGAGUACUGUAGGGGUAACUGGAAUUCCUGGUGUAGCGGUGAAAUGCGCAGAUAUCAGGAGGAACACCGAUGGCGAAGGCAGGUCACUGGGCAGUUACUGACGCUGAGGAGCGAAAGCAUGGGUAGCGAACAGGAUUAGAUACCCUGGUAGUCCAUGCCGUAAACGGUGGGCGCUAGGUGUGAGGGUCUUUUCACGACUUUCGUGCCGUAGCUAACGCAUUAAGCGCCCCGCCUGGGGAGUACGGCCGCAAGGCUAAAACUCAAAGGAAUUGACGGGGGCCCGCACAAG
rnacentral:rRNA from 1 species